UGCUCCCACCCCUACCCGCGCUCGCGCAGCCUCGACGGCCGGGCGUCACGCGUGGGCGGGCUGCGCACCAACUGAGCUCUCCCUGCAGCCUGCCCGCUUGGCAGGUGCGCUGCCCAGCCCGGCUUCGCCGAUUGGUUUGUCCCGGAGCCAGGUGGGAGGCCGAUCCCAUGUGCGGGGCUGGCUGCGGGGUUUGAACGCGCAAUCUGGCGGGAGAGCCCCAGGCUGCCAAGUGCCAGAGUCCCCGGAGCUCCGCGCCCUGCUUCGUCCAGCGCCUGCAGCCCCUGCGACUCCAAGCCCCACGGAGGAGCCUGACCGAGAGGAGGGGAUCUGGAGCCAUGGGGAACGCCGAGUCUGUCCCUGCAGGGUCUGCCAGCCGCCUCAGCGUCAGCCGGAGCCUGGGCAUCAGCUUCCAAUCCCUCAUCUGUCCGGUAUUGUUGGGACACUACGAAGAACAACAGUCUGGGCUGGAUUCACCUCUGUAGGGAACGCGCAUCCCCUGUGCUCGGAGUGAGUAGGUGUAUCACAGUGGGGAUUCAGUGGAGAGGGAGUCACCAUCUAGUUCCAGGAGUUCCUUGAAGAGGACCUGGCUAGUGGAGACUGCAUGGGAGGCAUUCGAUCAGUGGGUUGCAGGUAUCUUGCCCUGUCCCUGAAUUCCCCAACCUGGGUUAUGUUCACUCAGUUUAGGGACUGAAUUGAGCCUUAUCAAUGAAAUUCUGACCUUACUGAAGUCAGUGGCAAAGAUCCCAUGUACUUCAGAAGGGCCAAGAUUUCCCGUUAUAUGUUUUAAAACCAUUCCUGUUACGGAUAAUCCUCUGACUAUUAAAACCAAGGUUUUCAAAAGUAACUAGGGAUCCCGGGUGCUUUAAUUUUUAGGAGGUCAGCUUGAGAUGCCUUGGCCUGAGCUUCAGAAAGUGCUUAGCAUCCAUCCUCUGAAAAUCAGCCCCCUUAAAUGCAUGUCCAUUGUCAAAAAAAGAGGCAU
rnacentral:lncRNA from 1 species